rnacentral:lncRNA from 1 species
AACACAACCCGCACACACACACGCAACACACACGCAUGGAAAGGAAAAGAGAAAACCUCCCUUUCUCUCUCUAAAUCUCUCCCAAAAUCAAAGAAAUUGGUGGAGAUUGAAGUUGGAGAUGGAUCGUCUUCAUCUUCUUCAUCUUCUCCUUGGUUUGGAGCUAAAUUUGAGGUGAGUUUCUUGAGCCCUCUCAUGGUAGAUCUCUAAAGCUUUAUUUAUAAUCCAUAGAAAUGGUUUGUUUUGAUUCCUAGCAUGCUAAAUAGAUGAUAAAUGCUAGAAUCUAGGAUCAAUUUAGUUAAUUCUUGCAAAAAAUGGAACCUAUGGUUCAAAAUGCAAAUUUUGCUACUAGUAGGGUUUGAUCUCAUUUGACCCUCUGUAAACCUAAUUGCUAGGUAAACGAACGCGUCGGCGAAGUCGGUUCGGCGAUUCGUCGAGCCGUUGUAAAGUUAUUAAAGGAACGGACGUUUAGGCUUCGUUUCCGCCUGGAGAGCCGAGGCGACAUCAUAUACUCAUGAAAACGGAUUUGAAGCAUCGUGGCACAUAACCGAAGACCUUUAAUUUUCGGAUCGUGAAUUGGAGGCCGUUCGGGUGGUCGCGCGAGAGAUCGGGCCAAACCGGGUGCCGGGUGCCGCGGGAGGCCGAUUGCAAGUGUCGACAAGCAAUCGGAAUGCGAAAUGAGGUGGGUUGUGCUCACCGAAGCGACUAGGUCGCCUAUAUGUCUAAGAGUAAUGGUUUUCUAAUUGAUGCAUAUAGUUGUGUUGGUAGGCUUACAUGAUGAUAUGAAUGCUUGAAACAUACUAUGUAGUUGAGAUUACCUACCAAUGAGAUGAGAUGCAUAAUGAAUUAAAUGCUAAAAGAAUGCAUGAGAUAUUAAGUAUGGACUAUUUUGGAUAAUGACUAUAUGUAUGAUGACAUAUUAUGAAUUAACAUAUUGUGGAUUAUGUUAAAUAAAAAAACAUACUUGAUGACAUAUUGUCAUAUUGUGGAACAUAGUAGAUGGCAAUGUAUGCAUGUUGAUAUACCUUGAGAUAUGAGUUGACAUAUAUGCACGUUGAUGUAUUGUGGACUAUGUUAAAUAACAUAUGCAUGUUGAACUUGGGUCUAUAACUCUUGGAUGGUUAGAAAACUUUACGUUGGAAAACAAUGACGUAUGAACUAUGAUAUGUGACGUGGACAAUCUAUAUAUAUUAGAUCGAGUGGCAUAUGAUUAGUAUAGUGGAAACACUUAUGGCAUGUUGAACACUUAGAGAACAAGUGUGGUAUGAGUCCAAGAAUAAGUAGUGUAUAUGACACAAGUGAUAGUAAAGAAUGCAAAGAAAAGAAUGAUUGAAAUAUUAUGACAUUUCAACCCUAGAGUUUAGGGUCAUUUGAGCAUAGUCUUCCUAAAGUUAAGGAAUGGAUUGAACUUGGAGUCUUCAAAUGUAGGAUUGAUCAUACUCACCUUUAGUCCUUGCUCGAGGUUCUGGUAGCUCCCCCUCGGGCGAUGUGCUCCGGAGUCGACAUCACUGGGUUGUAGCAGGUAUCUCCCCAGAGGACGGUCCUACCGGGUUGUAGCGGGUAUCUCCCCGGUUAAUCGGAUUUUGGGUUGGUGAGUUUGUUGAGGGCGAAACCUUCGGGUUAGCCAAGAGAUUGGGUAACAAGCACAUGAGCUGUAGCAAUAUCCUAGUUGAGUGGACUUAAGGCUGAGGUGCAAGUGAGACGUCCUUCGCCUCGAGCCUGGCUUUACGCGGUACUCCGCGAAUGAUUAACUCGAGACCGAGUCGGGUGGAUAGUUGAUAAAGGUAAAUGAGACCAUAUGAUCAGAACUGUAAUUGAUAUGAAUUUAAAAUAGUGGAAUAACUUCGAAGUCAAUUGAACGAGCUUUGAAUAGCAGGAUUAAAGUAGUAUCGAUUGAACUACUAAUUGGUUGCAUAAAUCGCAUGAUUUUCAUAUUGCAUAGUUGUAAGACAUGACAUGUAUUUCAAUUAUCGCAUAUAUAUAUAUAUCUGUUUGAUAUUUGUUGGACUAACAUGUUGCAGUGCCUCCUUGGACCUGUGGGUCGAGCUCUUCCCUUGGGUGGCCGUACCCACUGGGAACUAUAUUUAUAUAGUUCUCACCCCUGUGUUGUUUUUAGGGGUAUAGGUUCCCACGUGAGCGGCACGGCGGCGCGAGGAGAGGGCGUAGUUCCUUAGAUAGCGCCCUACCACCGAGGCCAGAGAUAGCGGUACCCCGAGUCAGCCUAGCUAGGGGUGUAGAAGAAAAGAAAAGGAAAGAAUAAACAAUGUUGUAACAACCUUGAUUGUAUUUGGAAGUUAAAUAUAAUAAGUAUUCGUGAUGUAAAAUGUAUCUAGUGAAUGCGAAUGCUUGUAAUAGCAAGUAGAUUAUGUUUUUAAUACUUCCUUAUACAAUCUUUGAUUGAAAUGUGUUCCUAGUUGGAACUUCGUACAUUGUAUCGAUUGCGACGCCUUGGACGUACAGGGGAGACUCUGUCCGCAGUGCCGGAGAAACCCUGUCCGUUCGGCGGUCUGUCGGCGUGCCGCGACUCGGCCAAAUAGGCGGGUGGUCGCGGGGCGUGACAUUAUGCAACCUUAAGAAGCAUGUUAGAGUUUGAAUGAUGAUAUAACUCCUUGAGGGUACCUAGUGAAUAGGUUAAGUAGAUAGUUUUUUAUAUGAUGACAACAUUAUACUUGUUAUAGGCAAAGUGAAUGGAACUUAGCAUUUCUUGCAUUAUACUUGUUGUAGACAAGGUAGUUGUGAUAUUGUGACAUAGAACAUAAUAAGGUCAUCAUGAAGCUAAACUUGGAGUAUUCGAUCUAGUUGGACAACUAGAAUUUAACAUGUGACACGAUAACUUGAUGCAUUAAGUUAGUAGAACAACUAGUGUUUGCCAUUGUGAUAUUACAUUCGAUCUAGGGUUCGAUAGUUAUAUUCCAUGUUUUAGACAUGAGGAAAAAAGAGUAAAAGCCCUUGGGGCGAACCCUAAUAGAGAUGAUUGCACGUAAUACUAGUGGAAUUGAUUAUUUGCAUCAUAAUACUUCUACUCCAUGUAGUGGGGAUAUUAGUGGAAAGACAUGUGCAUAAUAUGCAUUGUUGUAUUUGUGGACAUUUCAUAGUUCUCUUGCAUAUGGCAUUAGUACAUGUUUCUCUUGAUAAUUGUUGUAAUUGCAUGUCAUGAACCUUGUUGGAGAUUUGAAUAAAAUAGUGAACUAUCCUAGGUAGGAUAUUGUCAUAUGAACUAUGCAUGCUUUAGGUAUUAUAUGUGUUGGUAGAGACACACCACCAAAGUAGUUGUAAACAUGACAUUAAUGAUCUAGUACCCGACCGUCGAGUCGAUAUGUGAAAAUUUCAUGUUUUAGACAUGAUGAUUGAGUAUCCCAAAUUGUGGACCCUAUGCUAUGAUCACGCUUGCUUGCCUUUGUACUCAUUUGCAUAUACUUGUGAGGGUCACUCCUUACAAGCCGGCACUCCGG